rnacentral:rRNA from 1 species
AAUUUUGGACAAUGGGGGGAACCCUGAUCCAGCCAUCCCGCGUGUGCGAUGAAGGCCUUCGGGUUGUAAAGCACUUUUGGCAGGGAAGAAAAGGCUCUGGUUAAUACCCGGAGCUGCUGACGGUACCUGCAGAAUAAACACCGGCUAACUACGUGCCAGCAGCCGCGGUAAUACGUAGGGUGCAAGCGUUAAUCGGAAUUGCUGGGCGUAAAGCGCACGUAGGUGGUUUGUUAAGUCGGGUGUGAAAUCCCUGGGCUCAACCUGGGAAUUGCAUUCGAUACUGGCGGGCUAGAGUACGGUAGAGGGAGGUAGAAUUCCUAGUGUAGCGGUGAAAUGCGUAGAUAUUAGGAGGAAUACCGGUGGCGAAGGCGGCCUCCUGGACUGAUACUGACACUGAGGUGCGAAAGCGUGGGGAGCAAAC